GACGAACGCUGGCGGCGGGCUUAACACAUGCCAGUCGAACGGAAAGGCCCUGCUUUUGUGGGGUGCUCGAGUGGCGAACGGGGGAGUAACACGUGAGUAACCUGCUCUAGACUUUGGGAUAACUUCAGGAAACUGGGGCUAAUACCGGAUCGGAGCUGCCGUUCCAUUGAGGGGGGGGGAAAGUUUCGGCGGGUGGGGCUGGAUUCGCGGGUUAUCGGCUUGUUGGUGGGGUAGGGGCUUGCCAAGGCAUUGGAGGGUAGCCGGCAUGGGAGGGUGGCCGGCCACCUGGGGACUGAGAGAGGGAGCAGAGGCGAACAGGGGGCAGCGGGGGGAAAUAUUGCACAGUGGGCGGAAGCCGGAUGCAGCAACGCCGCGUGCGGGAUGACGGUUUUCGGGGUGUAAAACGCUUUCGCCUAUGACGAAGCGUGACUGACGGUAAUGAGUGAAGAAGCACCGGCUAACUACGUG
rnacentral:rRNA from 1 species